AUCAACGCUGGCGGCGUGCCCUAACACAUGCAAGUCGCAACGAGAAAGGGUCCGGCAACAGGGACCCCGGUAGCAGUGGCGAAACGGGUGAGUAACAGCGUGGGUGAACCUGCCCCUUCGAGGCCCGGGGGAUAAACCGUUCCGAAAGGGCCGCUAAUACCGCAUAACGAUCAGGGUCCUCUGAAGACCUCUGGCAAUCCAAAGCUGGGGACCUCUUUCGCAAGGAAAGUUGCGCACUCGGAAGGAGGGGGCCCCGCGGUCCCGAUUAGCUAGUUGGUGAGGGUGAACGGCUCACCAAGGCAACGAUCGGUAGCCGGCCCUGAGAGGGGGCGGACCGGCCACACUGGGAACUGAAGACACGGUCCACAACUCCUACGGGGAGGCAGCAGUGAGGAAUCUUGCGCAAUGGGCGAAAAGCCUGACGCAGCGACGCCGCGUGGACGAUGAAGGGCCUUCGGGUCGUAAAGUCCUGUCGGGUGGGAAGAAUUGGUCCGGAAGCUAACAUCUCCGGACCUUGACGGUACCACCAGAGGGAAGCCCCGGCUAACUCCGUGCCAGCAGCCGCGGUAAAUACGGAGGGGGGCCAGCGUUGCUCGGAAUUAUUGGGCGUAAAGGGGCGCGUAGGCGGUCGGGUAAGUCUGAUGUGAAAUCCCACGGCCUUUAAACCGUGGAAUUGCAUCUUAUACUGCCCGGCUAGAGUCUGGGAGAGGGAAGUGGAAUUCCCGGUGUAGCGGUUGAAAUGCGUAGAUAUCGGGAGGGAACACCAGUGGCGAAGGGCGGCUUCCUGGACCAGCACUGACGCUGAGGCGCGAAAAGCUAGGGGAGCAAACAGGAUUAGAUACCCUGGUAGUCCUAGCCUUAAACGAUGUGCACUUGGUGUUGGGGGGUAUCGACCCCUCCAGUGCCGAAGCUAACGCAUUAAGUGCACCGCCUGGGGGAGUACGGUCGCAAGGGCUGAAACUCAAAGGAAUUGACGGGGGGCCCCGCACAAGCGGUGGAGCAUGUGGUUUAAUUCGACGCAACGCGAAAGAACCUUACCGGGGUUUGAACUGCCGGUGACAGCCCUCAGAAAUGGGGUUUUUCCUUCGGGACGCCGGUAGAGGUGCUGCAUGGCUGUCGUCAGCUCGUGUCGUGAGAUGUUGGGUUAAGUCCCCGCAACGAGCGCAACCCCCUAUCCUUAGUUACCAACGGGUCAUGCCGGGGACUCUAGGGAGACUGCCCCCGGAAAAACGGGGAGGAAGGUGGGGGAUGACGUCAAGUCCUCAUGGCCUCUAUGUCCCGGGCCCACACACGUGCUACAAUGGGCGGCACAAAGGGCUGCAAUACCGCAAGGUGGAGCUAAUCCCAUAAAACCGCCCCCCAGUUCGGAUUGGAGUCUGCAACUCGACUCCAUGAAGGUGGAAUCGCUAGUAAUCGCGGAUCAGCACGCCGCGGUGAAUACGUUCCCGGGCCUUGUACACACCGCCCGUCCACAUCACGAAAGUCGGCCUGCAACUUGAAGUCGUCGCGCUAACCCGCAAGGGAGGGCAGGCGCCAAUGGUGUGGUCGAUGAUUGGGGUG
rnacentral:rRNA from 1 species